AUACAAUUUGAAUACAUCAUUUUAAAAGCUUAUCCAAAAAUGUGAAAUUAUUUGAAAGCUUAUCCAAAAAUAUUUAACAGAGGCCAUAGUUAGUAAAACAAUAGGGUUUACAUUGACAGACGAACUGGCCUAAUUUAUUGGUAGUAACUAAUUUGGCUAGAGAAUGGCCAAUGACCCUUGCCCAGUUCAUUUAAUUUUCAGUGAUGUCUUCAAAAUAUGAUGAAUCUGCAAUCUAUAAUAUAUUUUAAUUUUAAGGCCUAUGACCAUUACAACUUUGCUAAGUAGCAAUAUUUAUAAUAUAA